GGGGCUUUCAGACCUCUCGUUGCGGAGAUGGUCCACUGGUGCCAGGGUGCCAUUCUGCUGGACCUCCCACGGUAUACCUUUGUUGUGGACAUAUACAGCCAUCACUGCUGCACAAGUUACUACAGGGACAACCACCUGUAACACGGGAUAGUAGAUACCAAAUCUGUCAACAUCUGAAACAGCUAGCAUCAGACACAUCAACAAGUUGUUCUUUGACAUUCAUGGUGAAUGUCAAACUCUCUGCUGACCCAGAGAGUUUGCAGAAUGAGCUCGAUGGAAUGAAAGCUGUUUUAAGUACCGAAGAGACUCGAGGGACAGACUGAAGAUAGUAGGGGGCUUAAAGGAGACUGUGGACAGGCAGAAGAAAGACCUGGACAUUGUGAGGAAGGAGAUUGAAGAGAAAGAAAUUCUCAGCUCACAGGGAUGAAAUACCUGGAGAACCAGCAAUGUGAGACCCAGGCUGCCAAGGAGGAGGCCCGACGACUCCGGACCAAAAUGAAAACAUAUGAGAGUCUGGAUGUGGUGUUGCAGGGUCAGAGAACUGAGGUGGAGUCCAUGAUCACUGACAUGGGUGUUGGCCAGGCUGCAUGUGGAGCAGCUUUCCAUCUACUGUAUUUCUCUCAAGAAAGAGUAUGACAAGCCGAAAGGGAGGUGUUUGCUUCAAACAACAAGUUGCAUAAAGCCACAAUGGAGUUGAACAGGACCAAGGAUGACAUGAAAGCUGUCCAAAAAUGACUUGACCAACACAGACAGAGAUUACCCCCUGCCCCAGUGGAGCUGAAACAGCCCCGUCUCCACCAGCCUGCCAACAGUGAGGAUAUUGCCCUCAACAUAACCUUUGACAUCAUCACCCCUGACCCGGUGUAUAAAAGGUUGUCACAGGUCCCAUCCAAGAAGAUGCGUCUGGACCCAGUUGCGUUGUCGUCCUCACCGACCAAACACCAAGACAAAGCCUUGUUUGGAAGUAAGGCCAGAGGCGACGACACCCAUGGAUACCUCCUUCCGUAAGGCCAACCUGUUCAGGAAGAAGACCUUCGUCAGCAUGCUGGACCCCAAGAGGAUUAAACUGGGAGCUGUAGGUUUAACCUGACUCCCUGUCUUGUUCUUGUCAACAAUAUGACAAUGUAUCACUAUCAUAUUCCAGGUCAGAAAUGGUUACGGUGGACUUGGGGGAAGAACCAAAUUCGUCCAGCCUUCUCUUUUGUCAGAGAUUCGCCCGCUCAUGAUGAAGGCCAAGAUAAAAAAAAAAAUGGUUCCCGACCAGCUCCUCCCAAGAUCUCCACCUGCCUUACUCUUAACAGUUUUCUGGUGUGACCUUUCCAUCCCUGACUGAUGCAUGUGUCAGUUGCACCUCUGACACUAGGGACCAGCCCGUCUGGGGCAAUAUAGAGGGGCAACCUGAAUAGGUUUACCAGUCAGGUAAAAAAUAACUUGGACCUCUUACUUGAGGGCCUGCUCCAAGCUUUGUGCAUGAAUGGGCAUAGCUGCUAGUUUGAUGAAAAUAUUUGUUUUGGUGUAUUGAGACUUCAUUUGGCUCAUGAAACACCCUGUCUGUGUUUAGUAAUUUUGUGUUGAGACAUUUCAUUUUUUUCUGGUUUAUAAUUUUGAGUGUGGAAGAGUUAUCUGCUGACUGAAACAUAUCAUUACUAGCAUCUGUGAAAUGUCAGGCAUUUGCCUGUGGCACAUUACACAAAUCCACAUUUUAUCUAUCUUUCACACUUGAACAUUUCUUGACUUACUUACUGUCUGAAUAUUGUAAUACAGCGUUGUAUUGAAUAUUUAGAAGUUGUUUCCCACUUGGGGUGGCAGGUAGCCUAGUGGUCAGAGCGUUGGGCCAGUAACCAAAAGGUUGCUAGAGCGAGUCCCGGAGCUGACAAGGUAAAAUCUGUCGUCUGCCCCCG